AAACCAUUCUGUUGGCCAUAGAUACAACAAACUCUAAAAUCUAAAAGAUAAUGUAUGCUGUUUCUGUGUGGAGCAUUCCAUUUCUCCAGCAUGUCUGCUACACUUUCAUGGCCCGGCGCGAGGAUGCGACUCAGGAAACCCCUUCAUCUCGGCCGUCCGCAUUAUGGAAUUUUGCUGCCACUCCGGAGACCAAAACACUCCUGCAAAACUUUGCUAACAAAAACGUGAUACUCUCAAAAGCUUUCUUCGCAGCUUACAAAAAUUCAAUCCUCGUGAUUUUCAAGGAAAAAACUUUUUUUUACCAUAUGCCCAUCCAAGAAACAAUAUCCCUCAGGUAAAGAAGGCCUCCCAUUAAACACCAUUCUGUUUCACUCUCUCUCCACCUAGCUGGCAAUGAUGUGGCGGAUUACAUGGCACUUCUCUCUUUCCCCUCCCGUCCGUCCGAAGACUGUGGUCUUUCUCGGCUUUUGACCGGCACUUCUUUGACGUCCUGGAGUUUGGAAGCAUUUUUUCUAUUGUUUGUCUUUCACAGAGAAAGAAAAGAACUUGAAUAGCGAGACAAUGGCAUAGCUAUCUCCACCACAUUUGAUUCCUCUCCAUGACAACAAAGCUGAGCAAGGACCAUUGCCCAUCCACCUGCAAAGUUCCAGUGGCUCCCCAAGAGUGUGCUUGAAAGCUUGCAAGGCAUCUAUUUGAAAAAUACGACUAAGGAUGAUCCAAGAGGAGAAGACUAUGUAGCAUUUACUAGCUCCAGGCUUUGCAAAGAUGAAGAGCAGAGAAGGCUGUGCAAAGAUGCCCAUAUUCCAUGAUGCCAGAGCUAACAGUACCAUUGAGCUCCACAAACUCAUAGAAACUUCCAUAUGAUCGUUGUUGCUGCCCCUUGAGAGCAAAAAACAAGAGCGCUUCCAACCUAGCUGGCGUCGCUGCUGCUGCUUGGGUCGACCAGCAUUUCCAUUCCAAAGAAGAACCUAAAACCCCCUAGAGAAGAGGGUAUCCCAAAGUCCCCCAAUCCAGAGGAGCAAAGCAAAAGGAGAAAUACACACUAGUUAGCAUUGGACACAAAGGAAAAAAAACCCUCUUCUCUC
rnacentral:lncRNA from 1 species